rnacentral:rRNA from 1 species
GACGUAGGGCGCGAGCGUUGUCCGGAUUUAUUGGGCGUAAAGAGCUCGUAGGCGGCUUGUCGCGUCGACUGUGAAAACCCGAGGCUCAACUUCGGGCUUGCAGUCGAUACGGGCAGGCUAGAGUUCGGUAGGGGAGACUGGAAUUCCUGGUGUAGCGGUGAAAUGCGCAGAUAUCGGGAGGAACACCGGUGGCGAAGGCGGUUCUCUGGGCCUGACCUGACGCUGAGGAGCGAAAGCCAGGGGAGCAAACGGG